GAAGGAGGGGCCUGGUGGGCGCUCAGUCCGGCCUGUUCUUCAGGUGAGGAAAUGCCCGAGGCUGAUGCUUUUUAGAAGGAGGUUUCUUCCACUUGCAGCUACAGCGCAGGCCAAGCGCCCACAUCAGGUGGUGGCUUCUUGCUGGCGGAGUCGGUGGUGGCUCAGGGUGCUACACAGAGUCAGAGAGCGGGUGUGUGUCUCCUCGGCCCUCUCUCUGCUCAUAGUUGCCAGGGUUCGGCCUUGGGGGCUCCACCCAGUGGCUUCGUGUGAUCCUAACCCCUCCCAGGGGCCCCCAGCACCACGGUCAGGUUGAGUUUCCACCCUGUCCACACCUCACAAAGGGGAUUAAAUUCAACACUCAAACCCUUGGGGACAUGCUCAAACCAUGUCCAAGCCAUGGCAGUGCCCUUUCCCGAGGACCCCGGAGAGCACCCUUUCUCCCCACCGGCCGCUUGAGGACCCAGGGACGAUUCUCCAGCCAGGGGAGCCUCACCACCCCAUCCUGCGGAACCUUGGGCUCGGACCUCCCGCUUCCAGACCAUGAGAGGCAGGUGCCUGUUGUGCGUGAGAGCAGUCUAUGGGGCUUCGUCACACAGCCAUAUGGACCAGGCACAUGUGCCCAACAGUCACCCCAACAGGGCAGAAGGGUUUCGGAGCACCCAGCAAGGGAGGCCCACGCAGGUGGGCCCUGAGAGGAACCUGAAUGUCACCGGCCAUCUCCUCCGGGGCAUCCCCACUAAGGCCUGGCUGGUGUCCAGCGUCCUGCUGACCGUCUUCCCACUCAGAAAUCAUCUGGACACCACUCACUCUGUCUACCCCACCCCCAAUAAAUCCACACCCUCCAGGCCCCAAGGGAAGGGCUGGGUCGGCGCCCUGGAGCCCCAGGUCUCGGUUCGCCCCCUGACCCUGGCCAGGCUCAAGAGCCUCAGCAGAGACUUCAGAACUGCCCUCACCUACGGCUCGAGGCCCAGCCUGCCCAGUUCACUCGCUGGCCAGCAUCCACGUCCCCUCACCCCAGGCCUGGCUCUCGGGCCAGACUUCACGGGCCGGGCUUCCUGCCUCUUCCUUUUUGGAAGGCGUGGGCCCCUUGGCUUGAGGCUGGCCAGCAGAC
rnacentral:lncRNA from 1 species